rnacentral:rRNA from 1 species
GUAGGUGGCAAGCGUUGUCCGGAAUUAUUGGGCGUAAAGCGCGCGCAGGCGGUUCUUUAAGUCUGAUGUGAAAGCCCACGGCUCAACCGUGGAGGGUCAUUGGAAACUGGAGAACUUGAGUACAGAAGAGGAAAGCGGAAUUCCACGUGUAGCGGUGAAAUGCGUAGAGAUGUGGAGGAACACCAGUGGCGAAGGCGGCUUUCUGGUCUGUAACUGACGCUGAGGCGCGAAAGCGUGGGGAGCAAACAGGGAUUAGAUACCCUGGUAGUCCACGCCGUAAACGAUGAGUGCUAAGUGUAGGGGGUUUCCGCCCCCUUAGUGCUGCAGCUAACGCAUUAAGCACUCCGCCUGGGGAGUACGGCCGCAAGGCUG